UUUUCUUUCGAUUUUUUUUUUCUCUCUUUUGGAUUUGAUUUCCCUUUUCCUUUCUUCGUCGAUGGUUUCCCCUUCCUUGAAUUUUCAAGGAUGGAGAUCCAGAUGUUUUCUUGUGAUUCCUUUCGGUGAUCCAGCUUUCGAUGUUUCUCGUUUUAUUGAGGGAAUUUUGAAGAUUCAGAUGUUUUCUUGUGAUUCCUCUCGGGGAUUGUGAUUGUGGCUUUCGAUGUUUUGUUUGAUUGGGGAUUCUUUGAUUUUCUUAUUCAAAGCGAUGUCUUGAGGAUCAAUCCCUUUCCUGAAUUGAUUUCUUGGUAUGAAGAUCAAGACGAUGGUUUGUGAUUCCAGUUUCUGUCUUUUUUAUUUACUCUCCGAUUUUUGAUGAUUUUUCUUUGAAAACCUCAUCGAAAUAGGGAUUUCUUGGUAUCUUGUUGAAAGGAUGCGACGAGGAUCCGGUUUCUUCUCUAAAAGAUCAUAGCUUGUGAUUCCGAUUGGGGAUUUGUUUAAUAGCAAGGAUCGUCAACAAGAAGGUAAGAAAUCUUGCAGGAUUGAUUAUCCAGCCGCCAAUGAAAGUUUUGCUGCUGAAUUAUACUGGAAGAUCGCAAAGAAGGGAAGAAGAAAAUAGAUUUAUAUUUGUUGCGAGGAUCUAUUGUGUUCUUGGUGUAUAUGUAGAAACCGGUUUCAUCUCCAUUGAUGUACAUGGUCAGCUGAAGGCAGUGAAAAAGGUGAUGUAUAAUUAUGUAAUAUGACCUUUGCCAUGAUGGGUGCGCUCGCAUGGCAGGUCGCUAAAAUCCUUAAUAAAAUUUUCGUUUUUGUGGUUCUUGAGGGAGAGAUCGCACGGGGAUUUGAUCUUUUUUUUAGUUCCCCCGGGUUCUCCCCCUCAUCUUGUGUGUGUGCUUUGUCAUUUGUGUGUGUGUGUGUGUCUGCGUGCUCACGUCUUCACCGAUUACGGCAUUUCACUGAUUAUGCCACGAUUAUUAUGGACUACCUUGCAUCUCCCGCUCAGCAGGCCAUGCAUGUGAUCUAUGUCUCACCAUCAAUGUCUCUCAUCGUAAUCGCAGAUUUUCUUGAAGUUCAGAAGCGCAAGUAUGCUAUCAAAUAUUGUGGAUGGUGAAGAGAGCUGGUUCUUGUUUGAAGAAUGCUUGGCAAGAAGGAUAUGGUUUAAUGUCCUGAAUCACAGCUAAGGCCUUUCAAGUUGGUUAGGAUCAUUUGUCAAGUUUUGCAUCUUGUUACACCUUUCUGGAAGUCAUCUUUACAUUUGGCAUCAAGAGUUUACCCAGCUAGGCUUUCCAAAGUAGCUGAGGAGGCCUUAAGUGACCGGGUUGUUCCUUUGUGGGCAUUGACAAGUUUUUUCAAGUAUCUUCCACGUCAUUCAAACUAUGGCAUUGAUAUGGCUAUCAUAUAACUCUUGUGCUCAAAUUAAUGAAUUUCAACUAGUGUGGAAUAUAUACCAGUUCUCAA